rnacentral:misc_RNA from 1 species
UCAGCGGGUAACCCCGCCCGAUCCGAGGCCUCACUUGUUUGCCUUGAGCGGCGGCCACUCCAGCGGCUCCGGGCGCGUGGCGAUGUUGCUCGUUGCGCUCGGUGCUGAGGAGGGCGCCAUUGUCUUUUGGGAGGGCCCCUACUAAGGGGGCGCCGCCCAACUGGGAGCCCAAUGCUCCAGGUGCGUUCGGAUGGCGCUCGGACGGGCGUGCCCCCCGGAGACCGGGGGGCGCAAUGUGCGUUCAAAGAUUCGAUGGUUCACUGGGAUCUGCAAUUCACACUACGUAUCGCAUUUCGCUGCGUUCUUCAUCGACGCCAGAGCCA